rnacentral:tRNA from 1 species
GUUGACGUGGCAGAGCCUGGUUAUGCAAAAGGCCUAAGCCCUUUUCAUCGGGGUUCAAAUCCCCUCAUCAACU